rnacentral:rRNA from 1 species
UGCCAUUCUUAACGGGAUGGCUUUUCUUAGUGUAAAAAGCUUUUGGAAUAAGAGCUGGGCAAGACCGGUGCCAGCCGCCGCGGUAACACCGGCAGCUCUAGUGGUAGCNGUUUUUAUUGGGCCUAAAGCGUCCGUAGCCGGUUUAAUAAGUCUCUGGUGAAAUCCUGUAGCUUAACUGUGGGAAUUGCUGGAGAUACUNUUAAACUUGAGACCGGGAGAGGUUAGAGGUACUCCCAGGGUAGAGGUGAAAUUCUGUAAUCCUGGGAGGACCGCCUGUUGCGAAGGCGUCUAACUGGAACGNUUCCGACGGUG